rnacentral:rRNA from 1 species
CGAUGCAACGCGAAAAACCUUACCUACCCUUGACAUGUCUAGAAGUUACCAGAGAUGGUUUCGUGCUCGAAAGAGAACUAGAACACAGGUGCUGCAUGGCCGUCGUCAGCUCGUGUCGUGAGAUGUUGGGUUAAGUCCCGCAACGAGCGCAACCCUUAUCAUUAGUUGCUACGCAAGGGCACUCUAAUGAGACUGCCGGUGACAAACCGGAGGAAGGUGGGGAUGACGUCAGGUCAUCAUGGCCCUUAUGGGUAGGGCUACACACGUCAUACAAUGGCCGGUACAGAGGGCUGCCAACCCGCGAGGGGGAGCUAAUCUCAGAAAACCGGUCGUAGUCCGGAUCGCAGUCUGCAACUCGACUGCGUGAAGUCGGAAUCGCUAGUAAUCGCGGAUCAGCU